GUUGGGAUAGCUGAACAACUGCUUCCUCACUGCGUUGUUGUCAUCCAUCCAGGCUCGGUUUUGUGACGUCAGACUGGCUUAAAGAGAUACCUCAACGAAGCCCACAGGAACUGGAAGAGACGGUCCCAUGGGGGAAGGAGGAAAAGCCUUUGUGGGAGAAAAGGGGAAAACCCAGUGGAAAAAAGGGGUAUGCGAGAGAAAAAAAAAAAAAGAGUACUGGGACCAAAACCUGGAAAACCUAACAGAUGAAAAGAAAAAGCAAGGCUCUUUCUCCACAAACUGUAUAUAAUCCAGAAUUACUUAACAGACAUACCUUUGAGUUGGUUUUCAGCAAUCUGUAAAACAUUAUUGAAAGAUGCACCUUCAUGAUGACUAUUUCUUCCGUAUAAUUCUGCUGCUUCACACAGACCUGAAUUACCUUUGGAACUGGAGCUGUAGGGAACAAAAAAUGUGGAAAAUUCCUCAUCAGUGAAUGACAAAAAAGCAAAAUCACAAACUAUGAAAGAUGUGAUCAUCAAGCUGUUGACCAUUCGCAAAGACCGAUGGUUUAAACAUAUAAUAAGCAAUGCAAAAUAAUUAUCUAUGUCUCCUGCAUCAUAUGGUUGCUCAAACUGGAAUAUGACUGGAAUUCUGCAUUCAAUUAAAAGGAAUAGUUAUGUUUAGUAAUAUUCUGCUCACAAUUUACUGUAUCUGGAAUAAUAAAUGUCAGCUUGAAUUGAGAAAAAUGCUUUGUACAUUUUGCUCUGCCUGUCAUUCAAGGUACUUGCAUCUCACUCACUAGCAAUGCACUUAAGAGUUACCAUGACUUCAAUUUCCAAUAAUCAUCAUAUGAUUUUAAUGGAUUUCUUCCAAUCUUUACUUCAAAAUGCAUAUCAGGGUUUGUAAAGGCUACAAAUCCUGUAACACUUCUUUCCAAAUUUUUCCCUUCAUUAAGACGAUGAGACUAUAACUGUCUAUAUAAAUUUGCUCACCAUCCUUGGCCAUCAUG